rnacentral:rRNA from 1 species
AGAGUUUGAUCCUGGCUCAGGACGAACGCUGGCGGCGUGCCUAACACAUGCAAGUCGAACGGAAGUUAGAGCUUCGGUUUUAACUUUAGUGGCGAACGGGUGAGUAACGCGUGAGGAACCUGCCUUUCAGUGGGGGACAACAGUUGGAAACGACUGCUAAUACCGCAUGACACUUUUGGGGGACAUCCCUUAAAAGUCAAAGCUUUAUGUGCUGAAAGAUGGCCUCGCGUCUGAUUAGCUGGUUGGUGAGGUAACGGCUCACCAAGGCGACGAUCAGUAGCCGGUCUGAGAGGAUGAACGGCCACAUUGGGACUGAGAUACGGCCCAGACUCCUACGGGAGGCAGCA